GCAGAAGUGGCGGAACUGGCAGACGCGCAAGACUAAGGAUCUUGUGACCGCAAGGUUGUAGGGGUUCGAGUCCCCUCUUCUGCACCA
rnacentral:tRNA from 1 species